CACGUAGGGCGCAAGCGUUGUCCGGAAUUAUUGGGCGUAAAGAGCUCGUAGGCGGUCUGUUGCGUCCGCUGUGAAAACUCGGGGCUUAACCCCGAGCCUGCAGUGGAUACGGGCAGACUAGAGGUAGGUAGGGGAGAAUGGAAUUCCGGUGUAGCGGUGAAAUGCGCAGAUAUCGGGAGGAACACCGGUGGCGAAGGCGGUUCUCUGGGCCUUACCUGACGCUGAGGAGCGAAAGCGUGGGGAGCGAACAGGAUUAGAUACCGG
rnacentral:rRNA from 1 species